rnacentral:rRNA from 1 species
UACGAAGGGGACUAGCGUUGUUCGGAAUUACUGGGCGUAAAGCGCACGUAGGCGGACUUGUAAGUCAGGGGUGAAAUCCCGGGGCUCAACCUCGGAACUGCCUUUGAUACUGCAAAUCUCGAGUCCGAUAGAGGUGGGUGGAAUUCCUAGUGUAGAGGUGAAAUUCGUAGAUAUUAGGAAGAACACCGGUGGCGAAGGCGGCCCACUGGAUCGGUACUGACGCUGAGGUGCGAAAGCGUGGGGAGCAAACAGG